GCUGCUGUAUGGGGGGAAAGGGAUGCACGCUCUGGAGCUGUCCCUGAAACGCUGCACUCAGGACAAGGAUGGUUCCUCUCUUCUGUGCCUCUGAAAUGAAUGAGGAGAGCUGUGCUGGCAGAAAACCCACUGGAGUUGUGACUCCGUUCACAGAGUAAACCAGGCAAAUCCUGAUAACCAGGGCAGUAAUUACACCUACCAUCUCCUCCUUCCAGAGCAGCUGCCUGGUGAUUCCUAUCAAACUGAAAAAUGCUGGCUGUAUGUCAAGAAAAAAGAGAAGGCAGAGUUUGGUGUACUUUGGGAGCACCCAGAGUUACUGGGGAUGUGAAUUUCUUCUCCAAGGGU